GACGGAGGGGGCUAGCGUUGUUCGGAAUGACUGGGCGUAAAGGGCGCGUAGGCGGUUUGGUAAGUGAGGCGUGAAAGCCCUGGGCUUAACCCAGGAGGUGCGUUUCAUACUGCCAGACUUGAGUGCGAGAGAGGAAAGCGGAAUUCCUAGUGUAGAGGUGAAAUUCGUAGAUAUUAGGAAGAACACCAGUGGCGAAGGCGGCUUUCUGGCUCGUAACUGACGCUGAGGCGCGAAAGCGUGGGGAGCAAACAGG
rnacentral:rRNA from 1 species